rnacentral:lncRNA from 1 species
UCUAAGAUGAAAUUAUUGCGUAAACCCCUGAGGGUUUACGCAGUAUAUAUUGGACGAGUGAUGUAGUCUUUCGGAACACCGGAUGUUAGUCGGAACACUUCUGGUCUUUCUAUGACCACCUUUCAAAUACAUGCGCAAUAGCUAUGACCACCUUUCAAAGGCAUGCGCAAUAGCUUACUAAUCUGUUGAAUAUGCAUUAGCAUCUUAAGUUGCUAUAGAGAUAUUUUACGUAUGAUCUGAAAUUUAUUAUGAUAUAAUAUUUUCUUGCACACGAUUACAAGCUGCUAAUAUUAACCUACAUGCGUAGUAUUUUAAUUAGUCAAACGAUGUAACCAGCUGUGUUUAGAUAUGAGAUAAGAUUUCAUGUAAACAAUGCGCUUUAUAUUCUGAAC